CCAGAUUUCAAAUUACUUGAACAUUGAUGUCAAUUACACACAGCACAAUCACAGUCACACAAAUUGCCACCCUUCCCUCCGCCAUGCUAGCAGAACUUCCCCUCCUUUUUUGUUGUUAUACCUUUUGAGAGGAGAGAGAGAGGGUUAAGCCAAGAUUAGAACUUUUGUGUUCAGCAUAAAGAGAUGAUACAAACAAUAACUGGACUUUAAACUCUCAGAAAUUUGCCAUUGAUAUUGUACUGCCUAAGCAUCAAGUCAUUUAAUAAGCAAAAUUCAAUAUAGGCAGCAUUGCUAACAUAAUAGUCCGGUCAGUUUAAUAAACCUCCAGAUGGGGAAACGGGGCCAGAAAAAAAAAACGCAAGAUGGUCUUCAGUGAACUUAUCAGCAACAUAACAUUGAACAGAACACGAGAUUUCUUGAAGUUUUUCAGAAACCGGGAGCCAAAUUAACAUGCAAAACAGAUAAAUGUCACAGAUGCUUGAACAACUUGAAUGGAAACUGUGCUUAAUGUGAAUGGUGAGUGAUGUGGCAAGCUUGUUAGAUAAACACGGUCAAUCGUCGAGCCAGUCCAGAGAGAAGCACUUGUCCACGAAAUGAACUUGAACAUCCUCCCUAGGCUCCACAACCUCUUGCCACCCCGAAGACACCUCCUCAUCGCAGACCACAGUUUUAAGAGACCUCAUCGAUGAGGCAGACAUCGGCACCCGCCUUAUUUGCACGCAUUCCCUCAUAUCGAUCUUCUCAAGUGUCCCCAGGUUUCCAAUUUCGUCAGGAAGGCGCAUCAAAUUAACACAUUGAGAGAUGUCAAGAUACUUCAAGCGACCAAGUUGACAGAUUCCCGGAGGAAGCACCUAAGAUUCGGGCAAGCAUACAUCGUCAAAAUCUCUAGAGACGACAGUUUGUGCAAAUUGGCUGGUAGCCUUUGAAGGCUGUGGCAGUUCGUGAUGCUCAGGUUCGUGAGAGAUCGGGCCCUGCAAAUGCUCGAAGGAAGCUCCAAAAGUCGUCGCAAUGGUCAAUAGUGAGCUCCGAUAGGCAUGGAAAAAUCUGGGGGAGGUCGACGGUUGACGGAUCCAGGCUGUCAUUGAUCUUGCACAGGACUAGAGAUAUCUUCCUCAUGUAAUUGAGGGGUAUUGUGGUUUCAGAUAAAUGGGGGACACAAACCCUUUCAAGCCAGAGGCUUCGCAACUUGGUCAAACUAGAGAAAACCGAAAAGUUUCUGAGGACAGCGUUGGAAGUGCUGUGAUUUAUGACAAUCAGAGCACGGAGCUUUGGCAAGUACUCGAUAAAAGGGGGUAAGAAGUAACUGUCGGAGGAGAAGUUGAGAAUGAGCACUUCAGCCUUGGGGAAUUCAGUCUUGGCCAGUCCAUUUCAUUCAUUUCACCUAGAUUUGCACAACAGAUAUUAGUGAAAACAAAUUGGAAGGGAGAAUUCAGUGUACGAGCCUCACUAAAUUUCAGUCAGUACCUGUGUGAACUGAAACAAUUUGGGCAUCAAAUGGUCUGUCUGAAUUCCUCUCCCACUCUCUAGGAAGCUCAUUUUCUCUUCUAGGCAUAAGCAGCGCCUGCACUUGUUGACUUCCUCCUGGUUGUUGAGAUGAAGGGCGAGGUCAUGUUGGGUCAUCGACACCUCAAAGUAACUGCUGUAUAUUUCUCCAGCUCUGCCACAGAUCUCACGAAGUUAGAAGGAUUCAGUUUGAUUAGUUCUUCCAAAUCUAAGAGCCAUACCAAAAGACGUGCGGAAUAUGUACAUGCCGGUCAUCUUUAACCAUAGUAAUUAGAUUUUUGUUGGAGAGCUCAACAAGGAUUGCAAAAGCUUCUUCGUCAUCGAUAUCGUGCAUUUCGAACCACAUUUUGAUAAGAACAUCCAGAGGAAUCUUUGUGUCCUCUGGGAACGAUCCCA